rnacentral:rRNA from 1 species
AGUGAAUAGAUACCCUGGUAGUCCACGCCCUAAACUAUGUCAACUAGGUGUUGGGUGGGUAAAACCAUUUAGUACCGUAGCUAAACGCGUGAAAGUUGACCGCCUGGGGAGUACGGCCGCAAGGUUAAAACUCAAAGGAAUUGACGGGACCCGCACAAGCGGUGGAUGAUGUGGAUUAAUUCGAUGCAACGCGAAAAACCUUACCUACCCUUGACAUGCCAGGAACUUAGCCAGAGAUGGCUUGGUGCCCGAAAGGGAGCCUGGACACAGGUGCUGCAUGGCUGUCGUCAGCUCGUGUCGUGAGAUGUUGGGUUAAGUCCCGCAACGAGCGCAACCCUUGUCGUUAAUUGCCAUCAUUUGGUUGGGCACUUUAACGAGACUGCCGGUGACAACCGGA